rnacentral:lncRNA from 10 species
UGAUGUGGUUUGGCUGUGUCCCCACCCAGAUCUCAUCUUGAAUUGUAGCUCCCAUAAUCCCCACAUGCAACUGGAGGCACCCAGUGGAAGGGUUUUCCCGUGCUGUUCUCAUGACAGUGAAUAAGUCUCAUGAGAUCUGAUGGUUUUAUAAAGGGCAGUUCCCCUGCACACGCUCUCUUGCCUGCCGCUGUGUAACACGUGGCUUUGUUUCUCUUGCACCUUCUGCCAUGGUUGUGUGGCCUUCCCAGCCAUGUGGAACUGUGAGUCCAUUAAGCCUCUUUUUCUUUAUAAAUUACCCAGUCUCAGAUAUGUCUUUAUAGCACCAUGAGAACAAACUAAUAUAUCACGUAGCUAGAUUCUGGCCAUUGGGAGAUAAGCAGAACCGCUGUAUGAAAUUUCCAGGGAAGCCUUCUAAAUGGAGCUGACUCAACUGAAAACUGUGAAACCUACAGGUUGCAGAAGAAAAUGGCUGGUGGAAAUGCAGCAGGAAGAAUAACAUGGUUCUGAAACCAGGCUGUCCUGGUUGACGUUUCCUGCCCAUAAGGCCAUCGAAAGGUGGGCAUCUCCUCACGUGGCUGCUGCUAGUGACGGACCUAGUAUGGCCCUGGGAGUUAAAGCGGUGCUGUGGCCUCUGCAGUCCUCAGCACUCCUUCUGGCACUACAGGCAUGCUGUGUUUACAGCAGAGAUGGAGAGGUUUUCUGCCCUAUCUCCACCCUGCCCAGCCCCUAGCUCUGGGCUUUAGUUUGUUAUCUGGGUACCAGAGAGCAUAGCUUGAGCCCCUGCGUCUCACAGAGUCCCUUAUGACAACAGCCUCCUCAGACUCUGCAAACAACCUCUCUCUCCACAGGGCUCAGAUGAGAAUCCAGGGAAACCAACUUCUUAAAAAUAGAUGCCAGUAGGCUGCCUACCCUGCCAAGUCAUUGGACAUUUCCAGACAUGCCUGAUUCCCAGCAGAGAACACAAAUUAGGCUCUCGAAUCCCUGCUACAUUACUAAACGUGCAUAGCACGCCCUAAUGCUUUCCCCUGAAUCAACUCUGUUCGGUAGGUAGGACAGAUGAUAGUAUUAUAGUUUCCAUCUUUCAUACAGAGAAAUUAAUUCUUAGUGAGAAAAAGCUAGAAGCCUGAAGUGAGAUAAUAAUUAAGAUUCUGAUUGAUCACAUGAAUGGAGGGCUUUGAAUAGCAAAUCUGGCACUCUCCUGGGGUACUUCACGGUAACAGGUCACCAAGCUUGGCCCAGAUGCUCUAGACAGAGGCAUUUUCCUCUCUGUGCUCAUGGCAUGUUGGUUUGUUGCAGAGUUUGCUGUAUUUUGUGACACCACUUUAAACGUCAGUCUUCUCCACUAAACAUCUCUCAUGCCAGCAAAGUGCCUGGCAUGGAGAAGGGACCUGAUAAACAUUUAUCGGUGGUAUGAAUAUGAAUUUUUAAAAAAAAUCUCUUAAUGUUUCUCUAAUGAAGGUGGAAUCCUCCCACCCCAGAGAACAUUUGGAAGUGGAGGAGCAUUUUUCGUUGUCACAAUACCAAGGAGUGAUGCUCCAAGCCUUUUAUAACCGGGGCCAGGGAUACGGGAUAUCUUGCAAUCUGUCAGACAGUCCUGCACAAAGAAGUGCUCUGUCCAAAAUGCCAAUCGCUCCUCCUUUGAGAAUAACUACAAGGAAGUCCAAAUGUUAGGAAAGUCCCAAGCACUCCUAAGCCUUCGAGUCUAGCCUAGGAAUAACUUAGCUAUCUGUGACCUUGCUAUUUGAGUUUUGAGACAAAAUAGGGGUUAUGCUAUAUACCCACCUCAUGCUAUGGUUUAAUGAGAACAUAUGUAAGAGGCCUAACAGAGUGGUUGCAUGUGGCAGGAAGACAAGUGAUUUGAGCUCCUUUUCCCCUUACUUCAGGUAAUAGGAACAAUCAUUUGUCUAUGUAUCAGUUUGGCCUAUGGUUUAAUUCAACUGAAAGAUAUUUUGAAAGCAGGCCUAGUGUUCUACGAUCUGCCCUUGGAAAUAUAAAAAGUAGUAUGGUAGUAUAUUUCCCAAUUGUUAUGAGGAUUCGAGUUUCUAAAGAUCAGUGCCUGGCACUGAGUAGUCUCUUUAUAAAUAGUUGACUUGAUGAUAGGUGGCAGAAAUCGAAGAAAAGCAGUGCUCUUGCUUAAAUAUUAAGGUAGCAUAAAAUCAAAUCAUAUUCUCCCUCUUUAGCAAAAUUGAGUGAGAUUUCUUUAGUAAGUUCUGCUUAUCCACUAUUUCCUGCAAAUUAAACAGACUUCCCACAGAAGACAACAAUUCUUGACUUCACUCUGUUCCCACCAUUGCAGAGUAAUGCAUGCUUGGGGCAAAAACACAUAUGACUCACCUGUUUUAUAGUGUCUCUUCGUACCCUUUCAAUUCCCACUGGUGAACGAAUUUACUUUCUACCUGCUUCUUAUUAGAGAAAAUAUGUCAUAGAAACAUUACAAAAUGUUGAUAAGAAUAGAAAACCAUAAUCCUAACCCUAUUGCAACUGUUUAAAAAAUUGCCUUCCAAUGCUUUUCUAUAAGAAUGUCUUUUUGCUGGGCGCGGAGGCUCACGCCUAUAAUCCCAGCACUUUGGGAGGCCGAGGCGGGUGGAUCACGAGGUCAGGAGUUCAAGACCAGUCUGGCCAAGAUGGUGAAACCCCGUCUCUACUAAAAAUACAAAAAUUAGCCGGGCAUGGUGGUGGCAGCUACUCGGGAGGCUGAGGCAGGAGAAUUGCUUGAACCCAGGAGACAGAGGUUGCAGUGAGCCGAGAUCGUGCCAUUGUACUCCAGCCUCUGUGACACAGCGAGACUCUGUCGCAAAAAAAAAAAAAAAGUCUAUUUAUGGAGUAGCUAUCAUAAUGCACAUACUAUUUUGAUUUCUACUAUAUCCAAUUUGUAUUAUAUAUUUUCCACGUUUCCACGUAAUUGUAAUGUUUAAUGACUGCAAAAUAUUCCAUUGCUUUAAUAUGCCAUCCCAUCUUGUUGGAUAUUGAGAUUGUUCUUACUAGGUAGGGCAGCAAUAACAUCCUUUCCUACUUGGAGCUUAGGGCCGAAACCAUGAGGCGAUUUCUCUACUUUGCUGGCUGUGUUUCCUGAGCAAGUGACAAGAUGGAGCUGAUUAAAAGAAGACAAGGGAAGUCUCAGUGCCAGACCACUUCAGAAAUGAAGCAUUCCAGAAAGGCAUGUACGAACUCCUGUCAGGAACAGGAAUGAUUUCAUGGCCCCUUUUGCAUAUUAAUGAACUACAAGUAACCUCAGUUUAGCGGUGCAGAUGCAACAUUUCAGGAGCGGUGCCAGAAUUCAGCGAUAAAUGCCAGCUCCAGGGGAAAUACAUUUCAUGAUAGAAUUAGGAGAGCAGAUUUUUCUAAAACCGGUUCCCAGGCAUGCUCUCAAUCUUCUACUCUUCUGACACUGCAUAUUUCCUCAAGCAACAAAAUCAUUUGCCAAAAGGUCAAGCUUAGGUGAAUCGAUCAAUUUGGCUGCCUAUUUUUCUGGUGUAACUUAAAAAAAAUGUUUAAUCAUAUAGUCCUCCUUGUUUUAGAAGCAAAAUACCUCUUUUUGCUUCUUCCCCACCCUGCUCCCCCAACU